rnacentral:rRNA from 1 species
GAGGUGCUUGCACCUCUGGCGUCGAGCGGCGGACGGGUGAGUAAUGCUUGGGAAUAUGCCUUAUGGUGGGGGACAACAGUUGGAAACGACUGCUAAUACCGCAUGAUGUCUACGGACCAAAGUGGGGGACCUUCGGGCCUCACGCCAUAAGAUUAGCCCAAGUGGGAUUAGCUAGUUGGUGAGGUAAUGGCUCACCAAGGCGACGAUCCCUAGCUGGUUUGAGAGGAUGAUCAGCCACACUGGGACUGAGACACGGCCCAGACUCCUACGGGAGGCAGCAGUGGGGAAUAUUGCACAAUGGGCGCAAGCCUGAUGCAGCCAUGCCGCGUGUGUGAAGAAGGCCUUCGGGUUGUAAAGCACUUUCAGUAAGGAGGAAAGGUUAAGUGUUAAUAGCACUUAGCUGUGACGUUACUUACAGAAGAAGCACCGGCUAACUCCGUGCCAGCAGCCGCGGUAAUACGGAGGGUGCGAGCGUUAAUCGGAAUUACUGG